AUUUGGUGUCAAACGCACCUAGUUGUAAACAAAUGGAAAUUGAAAGUAAAAGUGCAACGGCACGGUAUAUUUUUUCUGGCAUUUUUUGUUUUCCAAUAUCUCGAACUUUCACGACAAAAAGGUGAUUUGCCCGAAAUUCAAUACAUGUAUCAGUGAGAGGGGCUAAAGUUUGUAUGGAAGUCUAUGGGAAAACAUUUGGUGGUGUUUGUCCUAUAGAAUAGCAAUGCAUUAUCAAGAAGGAAGAGAUUAAGGAACCCUACCCUCUUACAAUGAACAACACAUGGACACUCUUGGGAUGAUCCCUUUGCUUUCAUUAAGAGUUCCAAGAUGUUGGUCUGAUUGACUGGGGUGUGAAAUGUAACAGCCAAUGGUGUACUUAAGCUAAGACUGUCAGUCCCAAUAUUCAAGAGGAAAAACCCCUACAUAAACAAAUACAUGGGCGCAGACAUUUUGGACACCCAAAGUUGUGCGGAGGAGAAAAUGCUAGCUGGCGCGUGAUUGGUCAAUAAGAGAAAAGACUUGUUAUGUAUUUGACAAGUGAAAUAAAGUUGAUAAAAAUCUCA